rnacentral:tRNA from 1 species
GGAGAGGUGGCCGAGAGGCUGAAGGCGGCGGUUUGCUAAACCGUUAUACAAAUAAAAUUGUAUCGAGGGUUCGAAUCCCUCUCUCUCCG